rnacentral:pre_miRNA from 1 species
AUAUGAAUCACCAAGAGAUCUUACUAAAAGGUAAAUUCUGAUUUUGUACCUGGGGUGGGGUUGAGAUUGUGCAUUUCUGAUUAAUCCCCAGGUGAUGCAGCU